rnacentral:rRNA from 1 species
ACACAUGCAAGUCGAACGAGAGAAGAGAAGCUUGCUUUUCUGAUCUAGUGGCGGACGGGUGAGUAACACGUGAGCAAUCUGCCUUUCAGAGGGGGAUACCGAUUGGAAACGAUCGUUAAUACCGCAUAACAUAAUUGAACCGCAUGAUUUGAUUAUCAAAGAUUUAUCGCUGAAAGAUGAGCUCGCGUCUGAUUAGCUAGUUGGUAAGGUAACGGCUUACCAAGGCGACGAUCAGUAGCCGGACUGAGAGGUUGAUCGGCCACAUUGGGACUGAGACACGGCCCAGACUCCUACGGGAGGCAGCAGUGGGGAAUAUUGCACAAUGGAGGAAACUCUGAUGCAGCGAUGCCGCGUGAGGGAAGAAGGUUUUAGGAUUGUAAACCUCUGUCUUCAGGGACGAAAAAUGACGGUACCUGAGGAGGAAGCUCCGGCUAACUACGUGCCAGCAGCCGCGGUAAUACGUAGGGAGCGAGCGUUGUCCGGAAUUACUGGGUGUAAAGGGAGCGUAGGCGGGAUCGCAAGUCAGAUGUGAAAACUAUGGGCUUAACCCAUAAACUGCAUUUGAAACUGUGGUUCUUGAGUGAAGUAGAGGUAAGCGGAAUUCCUAGUGUAGCGGUGAAAUGCGUAGAUAUUAGGAGGAACAUCAGUGGCGAAGGCGGCUUACUGGGCUUUAACUGACGCUGAGGCUCGAAAGCGUGGGGAGCAAACAGGAUUAGAUACCCUGGUAGUCCACGCCGUAAACGAUGAUUACUAGGUGUGGGGGGACUGACCCCUUCCGUGCCGCAGCAAACGCAAUAAGUAAUCCACCUGGGG